GUCUGAUAAUGUGACCUGAUCAAGGCGACAUCAAGAGGAGAAAGAAUUGGGAGCCGCACCCAUGCUAAGUCCAUGCUGAACCGUCCCCCUGCGGCUUAACCAAACCAGACGGUGGCACAGCCCCGCAUUCAACCACCUCACGGUAACUUAGGAAGCAGCCAGCCCCUUGAGCUGCCCUAGUGCCAGCAGACACCCAGGCUGGGCGUCUCGGGAGACAGCUCCUGGCAAGCAUGUAAAGGAAUGACCCUGAAAGCAGCCUGGGCAGAGUCUCCACGAGUUUUAUCAGCUACCACAUGCCCUUUCCAGGUCAGUCAUCCCAGAGGCAGCUUUCCCUGCGGACCUUGGGGAGAGGUGACUUGUCAGUGGCGUCUGUGGCUGAUUUGAUUGCUCCUGGAUUCUCUUCCCAAAUAUCGUCAUGUUUCAGCUGAACAUCUUCAAACAGCCCUGACAGCCAACAGCUGCAGCUGUAACACAAAACGGUUCACAUCUGUUCAAAGUCCCCACCAAGAGGCUCUCCGCCCGCGCCGAGGGAGCCAGGGAGCCGAGGCCGCAGGGCCGAGCUGCUGCUGGUCUGUGCAGUGGCUGCCGGCUGUCCCAGGCCGCACACCAGCCGUAGGAGCAGAGCAGCCGCCCCCGGAGGAGACCCACGGCCGGGAGCGGGCAGCGGCUUGCCCGGCGGCCAGCCCUGUUAGCACAUGUUUUCCUCCUCGAUGCCGGCACCUCAACUCCUGCUCUGGGAGUCGCUGCAGGGACUCUCCCGGGUCUGCUGUUCAGCCCUCACAGGAGACGAGUUGUACCACGUCCAUCCAGUUCCUCAGUGGCAGGAAUGGGCCGACCUCGCGUCCUCUGUGUAAUCCUGGGCCACAGAGCUGGCAGGCCCCAGAGACAACCCUAACGGGGGGCUGGGCCCUGCAGGACUGCUAUCUGCUAGGAACCUCGCGGCCCUCCUGGGUCGUGAAAGAAUGGUCCUUUGGAUGGCAUUCAAGGCAAGAAGGCUGGACUUCUUUUUCUUUAAUAAAUGCUGUUUUCCUCUCCA